UACGAAGGGGCGUAGCGUUGUUCGGAAUUACUGGGCGGUAAAGACGCACGUAGGCGGAUGUGCCAGUCAGGGGUGGAAAUCCCGAGGCUCAACCUCGGAACUGCCUCCGAUACAGCACGUCUCGAGUCCGGAAGAGGUGAGUGGAAUUCCUAGUGUAGAGGUGAAAUUCGUAGAUAUUAGGAAGAACACCAGUGGCGAAGGCGGCUCACUGGUCCGGUACUGACGCUGAGGUGCGAAAGCGUGGGGA
rnacentral:rRNA from 1 species